rnacentral:rRNA from 1 species
ACGGCCUUCGUUGCUUGCGUUAUGGUGCUUUUAGGGUGUACUUUUCCGUAUGGUAGGUCAAUAUCGAUUUUGAUCGUCAUAAAAUGAUCGGAGGAAUGUGGCUUCGAUCUCGUAUCGGAGUGUUAUAGCCUUUGGUAGAUGUGACGAUUGGGAUCGAGGAUUGCAACGAAUACCCUUUUGGGCUAUCCGUCUGACCUCUGAAAGUCGCUCGAGUGUCGAAAGCGUGCUUAUGACAUUCUAGUUGGCGGUCAAAAGGUUAGAACGCGAUUACA